rnacentral:rRNA from 1 species
AUUGAACGCUGGCGGCAGGCCUAACACAUGCAAGUCGAACGAGUGGCGGACGGGUGAGUAAUGUCUGGGAAACCGCCUGAUGGAGGGGGAUAACUACUGGAAACGGUAGCUAAUACCGCAUACCAUCAGAUUUGCCCAGAUGGGAUUAGCUAGUUGGUGGGGUAACGGCUCACCAAGGCGAUGAUCCCUAGCUGGUCUGAGAGGAUGACCGGCCACACUGGAACUGAGAAACGGUCCAGACUCCUACGGGAGGCAGCAGUGGGGAAUAUUGCAAAAUGGGCGCAGGCCUAAUGCAGCAAUGCCGCGUAGAUGAAGAAGGCCUUCGGGUGGUAAAGUACUUUCAGCGGGGAGGCGUUACCCGAAGAAGAAGCACCGGCUAACUCCGUGCCAGCAGCCGCGGUAAUAC